GCCUGUAAGACUGGGAUAACUCCGCGGUAAACCGGGGCUAAUACCGGAUAACUCAUUUCCUCGCAUGAGGAAAUGUUGAAAGGUGGCUUUUAGCUAUCACUUACAGAUGGACCCGCGGCGCAUUAGCUAGUUGGUGAGGUAACGGCUCACCAAGGCGACGAUGCGUAGCCGACCUGAGAGGGUGAUCGGCCACACUGGGACUGAGACACGGCCCAGACUCCUACGGGAGGCAGCAGUGGU
rnacentral:rRNA from 1 species